UACGGAGGAUCCAAGCGUUAUCCGGAUUUACUGGGCGUAAAGCGCGCGCAGGCGGAUAGAUAAGUCAGGUGUGAAAUCUCGGGGCUCAACCCCGAAACUGCGUCUGAAACUGUCAAUCUAGAGUGUCGAAGGGGGAAGUGGAAUUUCGCAUGUAGGGGUAAAAUCCGUAGAGAUGCGAAGGAACACCAGAGGCGAAGGCGACUUCCUGGACGACAACUGACGCUGAGGCGCGAAAGCGUGGGGAGCAAACAGG
rnacentral:misc_RNA from 1 species